AUGAGGGCAGAGUUGGUGGAUGUAACCAUCAUAGACAACCGCUGCACACUGACUUGGAGGCUUUGGUUAGAGUUGUCUGAUUGUUUGUGUCCUCUACCAUCUCUGCCAGCUCAUUUCUGCAACCAGCUGAAGAAAACUCUGAUGACUAGGUCAUUAGCACUCACACGACUAGGUCUGGCCCACCCAGAGUCAGCAGUGGAAUGUACAGUCGACUGUAAUAAUUACAGGUGUGCUCUGUGAUACAGUCAUAUACACAGAUUCAACCCCCAGUCACAGGGAAGGUGACGAUAUAAAGGUGAAGGUUACUGAAGAUCAUCUGAGAGUUCUCCUGAGACCCCCUUCUACCUCCUGAAACAUAUCCUGUGAAAGGUGGCGAUGCAGCAAAGAAUUUCUCAUUGAGUCACUCUUGCAUUUUCCUAGUUUAUUGUACUCUGCCUGGGAAUACAGAAAAACUCAGGAUGCCCUCAUUCUUUCAGUCUGGGAGACAAAUCAAGAAACAUAUCAAAGAGGGCAGAAGUGAUGUUGGUCACUCUUAUUCUUGGACUCCAAUAUUUCCCCAAAUAAAUACAUUGCUGAGGGAAGACAAGAUGAUUUUAAGGUGUACGUGGGCACACUGAUAAAUAAUAUUGAAGCAAAUGAGAAAAACAUUCCCUUUUCUUUUCUAAUACCUUUCAUUAUAUUAAGGAGAAAGUCUCUGUUUUCUACCCACAUGUCCUUAACACCUCCUAGGUUUGCAAAUCUCCCUCUUUCACAAAAGGUUAGGCUUAGAGACUUACAGGUGCAACAGUAUCCACCUAGCACUGAACAACAUUUUCGUUUGUAUUGUGCCAAUUUUUAGGUCCCUUUAAUUACGGCAAAUGGUACCAGCUUUUACUCACAGUGCUGAUGAAAGAUUUUCUUAUUAAACUUUUUUUAAAGAAAAAAGACAGUGUCCAUUUAUUUUUAUAAUUUCUCUUUAUUUACUUAUUCAUUUCUGGCUGCACAGGGUCUGCGUUGCUGCACACAGGCUUUGUCUAGUUGAAGCGAGCGGGCUUCUCAUUGCAGUGGCAGCUUUUCUUGUUGCAGCACGGGCUCUAGAGCGUAGCCUCAGUAGUUGAGGGACAUUGGCCUAGUUGCCCAGUUGCAUGUGGAAUCUUCCCAGACCAAGGAUUGAGCCCAUGUUCCCCGCAUUAGCAGGCAGAUUCUUAACCACUGGACCACUGGGGAAAUCCGUUCGUGUCCAUUUAAAUGAAAAUAUUAUAUAAAGAACAGAUCUGGUGGUUCAUGUUGUCAUUGUGUAGUCACUAAGUUGUGUCUGACUCUUUUGGGACCCCAGGGACUGUAGCACGCCAGGCUUCUCUGUCCAUGGCAUUUCCCAGGCAAGAAUACUGGAGCCAUUUCCUUCUCCAGGGGAUUUUCCCAACCCAGGGAUUGAACCCAUGUCUCCUGCAUUGACAGGUUAAUUCUUUACCACUGAACCACCAGGGAAGCCCACUGGUGGUUCAUAGAUACAGUAAGUCAUCAGUUUGUAGGAUGUGAAUAAAGGGAGUUGGGGAGAUGGUGCUCUAAUUCAGGAAUAAUUGGGCUGCAGCCUCUAGGCUGGGGCUAAGCCUGCAGGGGAGAGUUAAAAGGAGGUUCCAUUGCUGACACAUUGGAAAGGGAGAGGGAAAUGCCUUGAGAAGGACAUGGGCAGUGGAACCCUGGCUUCCUGCCCUGGGUUGGCCAAUUACCAGCUGUGUAGCUUACAGCCUUCUCUUCCCUUUCUGGACUUGCACGGUCCCUACUGUAAAAUGAAAAGUUUGGAUUUGAUCAUCUCUAAUGUUCCCUUCAACCCUGACUUUCUGUGAUUCUGUGAAUGAGUUAGGCAUGAUAAAGUCUCAAUCAUUUUGAUUCACACAUUCAUAUGUUGAUAUGAAGAAAAAAAUCUCCCCAUUGCUGAUCAUUCACAGCAGUGUUUCUCAGCUGCUGCAUUUAUCGACAUUUGAGGCAAUAUAUUUCCCUGUUAAGGUGACUGUCUUAUGCAUUGUAGGAUGUUGAGUAGCAUCGCUAUUCUCUACCCAUUAGACACCAGUAGCAAUCCCCCUGGGCUUCUCACAUGGCGCUAAUGGUAAAGACUGCCUGCCAAUGCAGGAGACAUAAGAGACAUAAGAUCACCCGGUUCGAUCCCUGGCUCUGGAAGAUCCUCUGUAGGAGGGCAUGGCAACCCACCCCAGUAUUCUUGCCUGGAGAAUCCCAUAGACAGAGGAGCUUGGUGGGUUACAGUCAAUAGGAUCCCAAAGAGUUGGACACAACUGAAGCAACUUAGCACACACCCUCAGCAAUCUCCCAAUAUGAUAACGAAAAAUAUUUCCAGACAUUGCUAAAUACCCUCUAGAAAGCAAAAUCACCCUGAUUGGGAAUCACUAAUUUAGGGAAAACUCAUCUGUUUUUGUGUGAUCUAUGUCCCAU
rnacentral:lncRNA from 1 species